UACGUAGGGGGCUAGAGUUGUCCGGAUUUACUGGGUGUAAAGGGUGCUCAGGUGGAUUUGUAAGUCAGAGGUGAAAUCCCAAAGCUUAACUUUGGAGCUGCCUUUGAUACUGCAAGUCUUGAGUUUGAGAGAGGGUAAUGGAAUAUCUGGUGUAGCAGUGAAAUGCGUAGAUAUCAGGAGGAACACCGGUGGCGAAGGCGGGUCUCUGGGCCGUAACUGACGCUGAGGAGCGAAAGCAUGGGGAGCGAACAGG
rnacentral:rRNA from 1 species